GGUUGAUCCUGCCAGUAAUCAUAUGCUUGUCUUAAAGAUUAAGCCAUGCAUGUCUAAGUAUAAGCAAUUUAUACGGCGAAACUGCGAACGGCUCAUUAAAUCAGUUAUAGUUUAUUUGAUAGUACCUUUACUACAUGGAUAACCGUAGUAAUUCUAGAGCUAAUACAUGCUAAAAGCCCUGGUCUUUAAUCUUGGUCAGGGUGUAUUUAUUAGAUAAAAAACCAAUGCGGGGCAACCCGGUUUGUUGAUGAUUCAUAAUAACUUCGCGAAUCGCAUGGCCUUGAGCCGGCGA
rnacentral:rRNA from 1 species